rnacentral:tRNA from 1 species
AAGGGUAUAGCUCCAUGGUAGAGCGUGUGCUUACUGUGCACAAAGUCCUAGGUUCAAUCUUCAGUACCUCCA